CAGUAGCCGCGGUAAUACGAAGGGGGCUAGCGUUGCUCGGAAUGACUGGGCGUAAAGGGCGCGUAGGCGGCGGCCAAAGUCAGGCGUGAAAUUCCUGGGCUCAACCUGGGGGCUGCGCUUGAUACUUGGUUGCUUGAGUGGGGAAGAGGGUCGUGGAAUUCCCAGUGUAGAGGCGAAAUUCGUAGAUAUUGGGAAGAACACCGGUGGCGAAGGCGGCGACCUGGUCCUUGACUGACGCUGAAGCGCGGAAGCGUGGGGAGCAAACAGGAUUAGAUACCCCCGUAGUCCCUGUCUCUUAUAC
rnacentral:rRNA from 1 species